UACAGAGGUCUCAAGCGUUGUUCGGAUUCAUUGGGCGUAAAGGGCGCGUAGGCGGCGGGGUAAGUCGGGUGUGAAAUUUCGGAGCUUAACUCCGAAACUGCAUUCGAUACUGCGGUGCUUGAGGACUGGAGAGGAGACUGGAAUUCAUGGUGUAGCAGUGAAAUGCGUAGAGAUCAUGAGGAAGACCAGUGGCGAAGGCGGGUCUCUGGACAGUUCCUGACACUGAGGCACGAAGGCCAGGGGAGCAAACGGG
rnacentral:rRNA from 1 species